GAUGAAGAACGUAGCGAAAUGCGAUAAGUAAUGUGAAUUGCAGAAUUCAGUGAAUCAUCGAAUCUUUGAACGCACCUUGCGCUCCUUGGUAUUCCGAGGAGCAUGCCUGUUUGAGUGUCAUUAAUAUAUCAACCUUCUCUUUUUUGAGUUGUUUGGAUGUGGGGGUUUGCUGGCCUCUCAAAUGAUUCAGCUCCCCUGAAAUGCAUUAGCAGAACAACCUGUUCAUUAGCGUGAUAAUUAUCUAUGCUAUUGAAUGUGAGGGCAGUUCAGCUUUCUAACCGUCCUUGGACAAUUCAUCAUUAAUGUGACCUCAAAUCAGGUAGGACUACCCGCUGAACUUAAGCAUAUCAAUAAGCGGAGGA
rnacentral:misc_RNA from 1 species